CCGGAUCUGCUCGGCGGCGGCGACGUGAGCGCGCAGGGGGGCGGCGGCCUCGCCUCGUCUCUCUCUCUGCGCCUGGGUCGGGUGGGUGACGCCGAGAGCCAGAGAGAUGUCGGAUUUCGACAGUAACCCGUUUGCCGACCCGGAUCUCAACAAUCCCUUCAAGGAUCCAUCAGUUACACAAGUGACAAGAAAUGUUCCACCAGGACUUGAUGAAUAUAAUCCAUUCUCGGAUUCUAGAACACCUCCACCAGGCGGUGUGAAGAUGCCUAAUGUACCCAAUACACAACCAGCAAUAAUGAAACCAACAGAGGAACAUCCAGCUUAUACACAGAUUGCAAAGGAACAUGCAUUGGCCCAAGCUGAACUUCUUAAGCGCCAGGAAGAACUAGAAAGAAAAGCCGCAGAAUUAGAUCGUCGGGAACGAGAAAUGCAAAACCUCAGUCAACAUGGUAGUA
rnacentral:lncRNA from 1 species